CACCCUGUGACAUACCUAAAACGUUGCUUCGGCGGGAACAGACGGCCCUGUAACAACGGGCCGCCCCCGCCAGAGGACCCCUAACUCUGUUUUUAUAAUGUUUUUCUGAGUAAACAAGCAAAUAAAUUAAAACUUUCAACAACGGAUCUCUUGGCUCUGGCAUCGAUGAAGAACGCAGCGAAAUGCGAUAAGUAAUGUGAAUUGCAGAAUUCAGUGAAUCAUCGAAUCUUUGAACGCACAUUGCGCCCGCCAGUAUUCUGGCGGGCAUGCCUGUUCGAGCGUCAUUACAACCCUCAGGCCCCCGGGCCUGGCGUUGGGGAUCGGCAGAAGCCCCCUGUGGGCACACGCCGUCCCUCAAAUACAGUGGCGGUCCCGCCGCAGCUUCCAUUGCGUAGUAGCUAACACCUCGCAACUGGAGAGCGGCGCGGCCAUGCCGUAAAACACCCAACUUCUGAAUGUUGACCUCGAAUCAGGUAGGAAUACCCGCUGAACUUAAGCAUAUC
rnacentral:rRNA from 1 species